UCCCUCUUAGCUCAGUUGGUAGAGCGCGUCACUAGUACUGGGAAGUCUAUGACGAGGUCAGUCGUUCGAGUCGGCUAGAGGGAA
rnacentral:tRNA from 1 species